rnacentral:rRNA from 1 species
AGUCGAACGGCAGCACGGACUUCGGUCUGGUGGCGAGUGGCGAACGGGUGAGUAAUGUAUCGGAACGUACCUUUCAGUGGGGGAUAACGUAGCGAAAGUUACGCUAAUACCGCAUAUUCUGUGAGCAGGAAAGCAGGGGAUCGCAAGACCUUGCGCUGAUUGAGCGGCCGAUAUCAGAUUAGCUAGUUGGUGGGGUAAAGGCCUACCAAGGCGACGAUCUGUAGCGGGUCUGAGAGGAUGAUCCGCCACACUGGAACUGAGACACGGUCCAGACUCCUACGGGAGGCAGCAGUGGGGAAUUUUGGACAAUGGGGGCAACCCUGAUCCAGCCAUGCCGCGUGAGUGAAGAAGGCCUUCGGGUUGUAAAGCUCUUUCGGCCGGGAAGAAAUCGCAUGGGUUAAUACCCUGUGUGGAUGACGGUACCGGAAUAAGAAGCACCGGCUAACUACGUGCCAGCAGCCGCGGUAAUACGUAGGGUGCGAGCGUUAAUCGGAAUUACUGGGCGUAAAGCGUGCGCAGGCGGUUUAGUAAGACAGGCGUGAAAUCCCCGGGCUCAACCUGGGAACUGCGCUUGUGACUGCUAAGCUAGAGUACGGCAGAGGGGGGUGGAAUUCCACGUGUAGCAGUGAAAUGCGUAGAGAUGUGGAGGAACACCGAUGGCGAAGGCAGCCCCCUGGGCCGAUACUGACGCUCAUGCACGAAAGCGUGGGUAGCAAACAGGAUUAGAUACCCUGGUAGUCCACGCCCUAAACGAUGUCAACUAGGUGUUGGGUGGGUAAAACCAUUUAGUACCGGAGCUAACGCGUGAAGUUGACCGCCUGGGGAGUACGGCCGCAAGGUUAAAACUCAAAGGAAUUGACGGGGACCCGCACAAGCGGUGGAUGAUGUGGAUUAAUUCGAUGCAACGCGAAAAACCUUACCUACCCUUGACAUGUCCAGAAGCCUGAAGAGAUUUAGGUGUGCCCGAAAGGGAGCUGGAACACAGGUGCUGCAUGGCUGUCGUCAGCUCGUGUCGUGAGAUGUUGGGUUAAGUCCCGCAACGAGCGCAACCCUUGUCGUUAAUUGCCAUCAUUUAGUUGGGCACUUUAACGAGACUGCCGGUGACAAACCGGAGGAAGGUGGGGAUGACGUCAAGUCCUCAUGGCCCUUAUGGGUAGGGCUUCACACGUCAUACAAUGGUCGGUACAGAGGGUUGCCAAGCCGCGAGGUGGAGCCAAUCCCAGAAAGCCGAUCGUAGUCCGGAUCGUAGGCUGCAACUCGCCUGCGUGAAGUCGGAAUCGCUAGUAAUCGCGGAUCAGCAUGUCGCGGUGAAUACGUUCCCGGGUCUUGUACACACCGCCCGUCACACCAUGGGAGCGGGUUCCGCCAGAAGUAGGUAGCCUAACCGCAAGGAGGGCGCU